GGGUCAGUAGGUUGGUCGUGCCACCGGUACGUACUGGUCACACUGCUUCCUCCUUCCUGAAGAACCGUAAUGCCAUUAAUUUGGUGUUGCGGGGAAACAGGACUGUUACUUUGAAAAAAUUAGAGUGUUUAAAGCAAGCUAACGCUUGAAUACAUUAGCAUGGAAUAAUGAAAUAGGACGAUCGAUCCUAUUUUGUUGGUUUCUAGGAUUGACGUA
rnacentral:rRNA from 1 species